rnacentral:rRNA from 1 species
CAGUCGCCGCGGGAACACGUAGGGCGCAAGCGUUAUCCGGAAUUAUUGGGCGUAAAGAGCUCGUAGGCGGUUUGUCGCGUCUGCCGUGAAAGUCCGGGGCUCAACCCCGGAUCUGCGGUGGGUACGGGCAGACUAGAGUGAUGUAGGGGAGACUGGAAUUCCUGGUGUAGCGGUGAAAUGCGCAGAUAUCAGGAGGAACACCGAUGGCGAAGGCAGGUCUCUGGGCAUUAACUGACGCUGAGGAGCGAAAGCAUGGGGAGCGAACAGGAUUAGAUACCCCCGUAGUCCCUGUCUCUUAUAC